rfam:Cicer arietinum chromosome Ca1, whole genome shotgun sequence.
CACUGGAUGCAGCGAUUUAUCGAUUUUUUCUUGAACUUUGUUUUGAAUGAUCACACAAGUCAUGAACUAAUCGAUAAACCUCUGCAUCCGGU